AGGAAUAUUGGUCAAUGGGCUUACGCCUGAACCAGCCAAGUCGCGUGAGGGAAGACUGCCCUAUGGAUUGUAAACCUCUUUUGUCAGGGAACAAAUGUGCCCACGGGUGGGCGGAUGAGUGUACCCGAAGAAAAAGCAUCGGCUAACCCCGUGCCAGCAGCCGCGGUAAUACGGAGGAUGCGAGCGUUAUCCGGACUUAUUGGGUUUAAAGGGUGCGUAGGCGGACGGUCAAGUCAGCGGUAAAAAUGCGGUGCUCAACGCCGUACAGCCGUUGAAACUGGCAGUCUUGAGUGGGCGAGAAGUAUGCGGAAUGCGUGGUGUAGCGGUGAAAUGCAUAGAUAUCACGCAGAACUCCGAUUGCGAAGGCAGCAUACCGGCGCCCGACUGACGCUGAGGCACGAAAGCGUGGGUAUCGAAC
rnacentral:rRNA from 1 species